rnacentral:tRNA from 1 species
GGGCCUGUAGCUCAGCUGGUUAGAGCGUUCGCCUGAUAAGCGAGAGGUCACAGGUUCGACUCCUGUCAGGCCCACCA